GUUCUGCUCCCUCCGUCCUAUAUUAAGUGUCCAAGUAUUACAUGUAUUUGGACGCUUUUUAGGUGUAGAUACAUUCAUAUAUGAACAAAUUUGAGACAUUUAAUAUGGGACGGAGGGAAUAAAAU
rnacentral:pre_miRNA from 1 species